rnacentral:rRNA from 1 species
AUUGCUAUCAGAGUUCGACUAAGCCAUGCAAGUCAGCCCAUUCACUUGGAUGGGCGGCAAACGGCUGAGUAACACGUAGUCAACCUAACCUUGGGACGCGGAUAACCUCGGGAAACUGAGGAUAACCCGCGAUAGCUAAUCUAUGCUGGAAUGCUUGAUUGGCCAAAUCGCUUGUGAAUUGGACCAAGCGGCCCCAGGAUGGGACUGCGGCGGAUUAUGGUAGUUGGUAGGGUAAUGGCCUACCAAGCCGAUAAUCCGUAGGGGCCAUGGGAGUGGUGGCCCCCAGAAUGGCACUGAGACAAGGGCCAUAGUCCUACGGGAUGCAGCAGGCGCGAAACUUUCGCAAUGCGCGUAAGCGUGACGAGGGAACUCUGAGUGGUAUUAGCUUCUUGCUAGUGCCUUUUGCCUAGUGUAAAAGUCGCUGUCACACGGCGAUUAUCAAGCUAGGAGAAUAAGGGUGUGGGCAAGACUGGUGGCAGCCGCCGCGGUAACACCAGCGCCUCGAGUGAUACCCACGAAUAUUGGGCCUAAAGCGUUCGUAGCCGGCUUUGUAAGUCCGCCGUGAAAUGUUGGGGCUUAACCCUAACGCGUGCAGUGGGUACUGCAGGGCUUGGGAGCGGGGGAGGGAAGAAGUACUUCUGGGGUAGCGGUAAAAUGCGUUGAGCCUGGAAGGACUUUCAGUGGCGAAGGCGUCUUCCCAAAACGCGUCCGACGGUGAGGAACGAAAGCUGGGGGAGCAAAUCGGAUUAGAUACCCGAGUAGUCCCAGCUGUAAAUGAUGUAGACUUCGGUGUUUCCAUGGCGUAAGCCCUGGAAGUGCUGUAGAAUAGUCGUUAAGUCUACCGCCUGGGGAGUACGACCGCAAGGUUGAAACUUAAAGGAAUUGGCGGGGGAGCACCACAAGGGGUGGAUGCUACGGUUCAAUUGGAUACAACGCCAGGAACCUCACCACAGGCGACAGCAGUAUGAAGGCCAGACUGAAGAUCUUGCCUGACAAGCUGAGAGGUGCUGCAUGGCCAUCGUCAGCUCGUGGUGUGAAUCCUGCACCAAGCAGGAGCACAAACUGUCUGGUUAAGUCCAGCAACGAGCGAGACCCAUGCCUUUAGUUGCUAACUCUAUCUCCGGAUGGGGUGCACUCUAAAGGGACUGCCCGUGUUAAAUGGGAGGAAGGAGUGGGCGACGGUAGGUCAGUAUGGCCCGAAUCCUGUGGGCUACACGCGGCAUACAUUGGCCGGAACAACGGGUCGCAACGCCGAGAGGCGAAGCUAAUCUCUUAAAUCCGGUCUUGGUUGGGAUCGAGGGUUGAAACUCACCCUCGUGAACGUGGAAUCCCUAGUAAUCGCGAGUCAUCAUCUCGCGGUGAAUACGUCCCCGCUCCUUGCACACACCGCCCGUCAAGUCAUCCAAAUGCGUCUUCGAUGAGGCCCCGGUUCUUGCCGGGUUCGAAUUGAAGAUGCGUGAGGAGGGCU